GAUAACGGUCGAUAAAAAAAAAAGUCCUUAACUUGAAGAAAAUAAUAUAUAAAUUAUUGCGGUUUUGUUUCUCUUCUUCUUUCUAGCUAAAGAAAAAAAAAAUUGUAGAAAAAAUUGAUAGAAAAUUUAAGAUAAUUAAAAAGUAUAACUUUAUUUCAAAAUCAGAAAUAAAUUCCACAUCCUUUUUUGCAUGUCAGUGCGAAUGUCCUUUUUUUGCUGUGAUGCUGCAUACAUUUUCCAUCUGAUAUACAGAAGUGAAAUAAAUUUCUUUUUUUUCUGUGACCUAUAAAAACGGAAACGGAACCAAAGAGAGCGCGUAAAAAAUAUAUAUUGUUCUUUUUUUUUUUUAUUAUUAUCUUUGUAUGUAUGUGGCCCAAUAUAGAGUGAAUUGUAUCUUAAAAUAAUACUACAAAAAGCAACAACAAAAAAAAGAAAAAAAAAAAAGAGUUAUAUCUAGUGUCAUCGUCCUGGCAGUAGUAGCAUCCUUUAAGCAACAGCAUUCAUUAUGACAAGAAUUGUGGAGAAUGCCCAUGCAAAUUGAAUUUUGUCUUUAAAUAAAAAAUAAAAAACACAUCAUCCUACCCCAACGUUCGUUCGUCACAUCAAUACAGAAAAAAAAAAAAGAAUCAACAUUCGCAUGAAGGACAUCAUUUUCUUAAAGUUUUUAUUUAUUUUCGAAAAAUAAAAAAAGGAGAAAAUAAUUCUCACAUAAAUCUUCAAAAAAAAAAAAAAGGACAUAAAAUAUUUGCAACAAGGAUAUAUCUCUUGGGGCGAAAGGAAGAAAAAAAGGACACUCGAACAAGCAAAAAAAAAGUUGAGAGAUUUUAUUUCAUUCUUGAACACACAUUAUGAGACGAGGAGUUUUUGCGUUUUGUGUGGUGGGUAGUUGGAUGGCAUCAUCUUCGUCUUCAUCGUCCUCGUCGUCGUCCUUUUUGUAUACGUUUUCGUCUUCGUCGUCCACAGGUGUUGGAAUACACUAAGAAGUCGUGGGAUACGUUGUUUUUUUUUUUUUUGUUGCUGGUCUGGUGUAAAAGUGCCUGUCCUCCCCAUCAUCAAGAAAAGAGGUCCUUCAAGGAGCACACUACUAAGAAGGAGACGACUGCUGCUAAAUUCGGGUCUUAAGUGAUUUCUUAUUUUUUUUUUGUUUCUUUUUUGUGGUUCGGUUGUUUGUGUUCAUUUUUUUUUUUUUUGCAAAAGUGCGAGUAACGUUAUAUAUUUGGUGUAAGAAAUGCCCGAAACGGAUAAUUACGACGAUGAGUUGGUAUCCGGAAACACAAACCAGCGCAAUUGGCGCGGUAUUCUCAUAGCCCUGCUUGUCAUCAUAAUUGUUCUCGCCCUAAUUGUCACAUCAGUGGUCCUACUGACACCACCCGAUGAGGGUCCACGCGUCAAAGGUCAACGCAUCAAACUUCAAGACAUUGUCGAUGGUGUAUACCUGCCCAAGCGUGCCAAUGGAACAUGGAUAAAUGCGGAAGAGUUUAUAUAUCAGGAUCAAUGGGGCAGAAUAAAUCUUUUGAAUGUUGGCAAUUUAUCGGCUCGAGUUCUGAUGUCAAAUGUAACAUAUAAAACACUCGCACCACACACUUUUUCAAUUUCGGCAGAUAAAAGAUUUAUAUUGCUGGCACAAAAUGUCGUCAAACUCUUCCGACACUCGUAUUUGGCCCAGUAUACGGUGUUUGAUAUUCAAACGAGUGAAAGCAUUAAAAUCAAAAUAGACGCACACGUUGAUGAAUGGCCGUAUCUGCAUUAUGCACGUUUCACACCAUCUGGCAACUAUCUCAUUCUAGUGUACAACUACGACAUCUAUUAUAUACCAGGACCGCGUUCGAAUCAAGUUUAUCGGGUGACAAAGGAUGCGGUUCCGGGUAUAGUCUACAAUGGCAUACCGGAUUGGCUUUAUGAAGAGGAAAUUCUACAUACGAAUCAUGCCAUUUGGAUGUCUGACGAUGGGCAUCUAAUGCUUUAUGGGUCGUUUAAUGAUUCAAUGGUGCAUGAACAGCAUUUUGCUUGGUAUGGAACGACAUCGAAUGGCGGCAAUGCGAAUGCAUAUUUGUAUCCGGAAAUUAGAUCGUUAAGAUAUCCAAAACCAGGAACACAAAAUCCUAUUGUCAAAUUACGUGUUGCUGAUUUAGCUGAUCCAAAGAAUAUUCGCAUUCGUGACAUAAAACCGCCUCAAGUUUUGUUAAACGAAGACCACUAUGUAACAAGUGCAAAUUGGGUGAGUGAGACAGAAAUAUGCGUUGUUUGGUUAAAUCGACCGCAAAAUAUUUCUGUGGUUAGUGUUUGCAAGAGUCCGGUCUUUUUGUGUCUUGAGACACACCGCAUCAGUGGCGAUGGUCGUGGUUGGGUUGACACAAUUUCAGUUCCUUUGUUUGCAUCAAAUGCUUCAUCCUAUGUCGCAAUAUCACCGUUACGCGAUGGAGCCUCAGGUUAUUUCCGUCACAUAGUCCAUGUGCAUGUGGCAAAGAAGAGAGUCCUUCCGAUUACCCAUGGACGAUAUGAGGUCAACCGGCUACUGCACUGGGAUCAGGUUCAUAAUUUUAUCUAUUAUCUUGGUACCCCAGAGAGUCUGCCAUCGCAACAGCACUUGUAUAGAGUUUCUGCAAUCCCACCACGACUGGGGGCGCCACUGCAGCCACCCGAGUGUUUGACAUGUCCUCGAAAAGAGAAACCUAACGCAGAGAGUCACACGAAACCACCACCGAAACUAGUCACAGCCUGGGACGAUGACUGGGAGGACUUGGAGCCUUUGACUUUCCCACCGCCAACACCGCCCGAAGCCAGUGAUAAAAGUCGCAAACGGCCUUCAAGGAAAUUAUCCGGACCAACUGAAUGUCUAUAUCAUACAGCAAUAUUCCCAAGGACCUUGAGUGCUGAUUAUGUGCUGAUUGAAUGUUUGGGUCCAGUCAUUCCGACAAGCGGUAUUUAUUCUGUUGGACGAUUUACCAGUGGCAAUAGGCCGCUGGAACUUUUAAUGUCAGUGCAAAAUAAUACCCGUUUGAGAGAGAAAGUUGCUAAGAUUGCUUUGCCACAAAUCAAAACAUUUCCGGUGAUGAUUUCCGGUGGUUAUCAUGCUCAAGUUCGACUUUUUAUGCCACCGGUAUUGAGAGAGGAUGAAAUCACAAGGUAUCCAACGAUUUUACAUGUGUAUUCGGGUCCGGGGACACAGUUGGUGGAAGACAAGUGGCAUAUUGAUUGGAAUACUUAUUUGGCUGGAACUAAGGAUUAUAUUGUGGUGCAAAUUGAUGGACGGGGUUCGAGUGGGCAGGGUUAUCAGUUGUUGCAUGAGAUUUAUAAAAGACUAGGUACGGUAGAGGUGUCGGAUCAAUUGGAAGUUAGUGAGUAUUUAAGGGACAAUUUGCAUUUUAUCGAUGGAAGGAGGAUGGGGGUGUGGGGUUGGAGUUAUGGAGGAUAUACUUCGGCCUUGGCACUGGCCAAUACGCAGUCGAUUUUUCAGUGCGGAAUAAGCAUAUCACCGGUGACCAAUUGGAAAUUGUAUGAUUCCACAUACGCGGAACGCUACCUAAGCUUCCCCAAUGUCACCGACAACUACAAAGGCUACGAAGAAUCCGACUUAACAAAACACGUUGACAAUCUACGAGAACGACAAUUCCUUCUUAUACAUGGUACAGCCGACGAUAAUGUUCACUAUCAACAAUCGAUGGUCCUAGCUCGUGCAUUAACCGCCAAAGGAGUUUUAUACAAACAACAAAUCUAUCCUGACGAGGGUCACAAUUUAUCUGGUGUCAAAAGGCAUCUAUAUAGAUCGAUGACAAGCUUUUUCGAGGAUUGUUUUAAAAAGCUGAGCUACCAGAAUGUGACCGAUGAUGGAGUGUCUGGAGAUUUUCUGGACUUUCAUAGAUUCUAUGCAGCAAAAUAAAUCCGCGUGGCGAAUCCUGUACUAACACAAAAAAAAAAAUACCUACACAUACAAAACUACUGUAUAUAGAUACAUUUAUUUAUCUAAGAAAAAGCUAAACAAAAAAGGAUUUGAUAGAGAAGAGUAGUAUUGGUGUGGUGAAGUAUAAGAAGGUGUUUGGGAGAGUAGAAAGUGAAUGAUACAUCAUCCAGGACGAACGACAAAAUAACACCAAGGAGCAACAGCAAAAGCAACCCCCUCAUCACAUAAACUAUCAUACUCUAUCUCCACUACACUACUCCUCCUUAAUUAUAUUAUUUAGGUUCCGCCAGAAUCAAAAGCUGGUCUUGGAAAUGGCGGUGAUAUGCAACAGCAAUAAAUUUUCAAUUUAAAUGAAAAACAAAAAUGUAGAAUUUUAAGUAGGUUUACACAAAUAAGAUUAAUAUAAUUUUCAGAAAAUAAAUUAAAAAAAAAAAAAACAAUGCUCAAAAUACAUAAAUAAAAAAAAUAAAACAGAAUAAAAAUUAAUUAUUUAUAUAAUUUUUAACACAAAAAUGCAAAAAGAUUCAAAACAAAUAAAAAUAUAUAAAAAUGGUUGUG